rnacentral:rRNA from 1 species
AGAGUUUGAUCCUGGCUCAGAACGAACGUUGGCGGCGUGGAUUAGGCAUGCAAGUCGAACGAAUCCCUCUGGGCUUGCUCAGAGGGGGAAGUGGCGAAAGGGGCAGUAAUGCGUGGGUAACCUACCCCGGGGAUCGGGAUAGCCUUCCUAACGGUUGGGUAAUACCGGGCGAUCCAGCGAGGAGACAUCUCUUUGCUGGG